UCGGGGAGCUGUCCGGACGCAGACGUCGAGCUUCUCUUCUGUCUCUGCGCGUUUUUCAGCUCGGUUCCGACCUCGGUUCCUCAGAGGGGGCAGAUAUUUGUCCUGUGAAGCCGGAGGACCCCGCCUGCUGUCCCGCCGUCCUCGCAGCAGCAGCAUGCCGGACGUCAGGCUGUGCCUGGAGGCCGUCUCCGCGCUCCUGGGCUGCAGAGCCGAAGCGACAACCGGAAGCUCCCAGUUCACCCCGCAGGACCUGGUCAACGUCGUGGCCCUCAAAGAGUUUUACAAGCAGGAGGGCUUUAAGGAGCUGGAGUACCCCAGCUUGGGGACGCUGUCUCUGCACGACUUAGACGAAGCCGACAUGUACAGCUCGCCCCCGGCCCUGGACGCGCCUCCCGAGAGCUUCCAGCUCACUGUGGAAAUCAACACGGAGAACUUCUUCCACCCUCAGUACGACUACGACUUCACCAACGUAAAGGAUGGAGAUAAGAAGUUCACGCGUGGUAACGAGCAGUACAUCCGCCCCUGCGGGUGGAACCGCGCCGCCCUGCGGGUCGUGCAGAAGUACAGCGAUGGGGACAAGUGGCUGGGGACGGGGCAGGACGCCUGGCCCGUGUCCUACCAGGGGAAAGACAUGGACGGCUCCCUCAUCCUGACCCACGGCGGCAAGCCCGACGACCAGCCACAGUUUCUGGAUGCCGCCGCCGCCUCUUUGUUAACGGAAGGGACGAAGGGCCGAGGGGUGUACUCCACGCCGGACAUCAGGAUCGCAGAGAAGUACUGCAAGAAGUUCAAGUCCAGAGUGGACGGGAAGACGUACCAGGUGGUCCUCCAGAACCGCAUAAACCCGGAGAAAAGGAAGUCGUGCCAGAGGCAAGACGUCUGGGUGGUGUACAUCCCCGAGGACACCAGCGACGUGAGGGUGAGGGCCAUCGUGCAGGAGUCCAUCCGCCCGUACGGGCUGCUGCUGAAGCAGGUGUGAUGCAGCUGGAACGACCUGCCGUCACUUCAGCUUCACGAUUUUCACAUUGUUAACAAAAAACUGAGAACAUGCUUCAAAUUCCCAACGGUGGGACUAAUAAAGUUUAGUAAAAGUACGGCCGUCUGAUCAAACCUCGCUGAACCGCGCUGCCUUUCAGUCUCCUCACAGCUCCAAUCACAACAUUAGAUCCAAACCACCCAUGAAUAAGCCUUCAUCUCAAACACAGGAGGAGGGACGCGUGCAGCGCGGUUAGCGGCGUCCUGCCUCACGCUGCGAUCCUUUCGCUCGGUGUCAGAGUUGGAGGUCAGACCUCUGAGUCCCAAACUUCUUCACAUUCCUAGUUUUUAAGCCUCGAUAGUGAGGCGGGGUCAGAGGGCAGACCCCGUCAGUCACAGGUGAGCGCACACCGGCUUUAAGAUUUUACUAAUUAAACUUCACGUUGUUAUUUUUAAUAAGACUUGAACCUAAUGAGCUCAGGAUAACUUGCUCGCUGCAGUCUAAGAGACGAUAGAUCGUUAUUGUCACAGUUACCAUGAAACACUGACAGCUGCUGCCCCCUGCUGGUCCCAGCAACCACUGCAGGCUUCAGAGCUACAUCCAGGUGUGUUUCCAGUACAGGCUGAGGGUGGUCUGCAGAGACGCUGAAAGUGGCGUUAGAUUGAAUUCUCGUCCUGUUUUCCUUCCUGUCUGAUCAGCAGCACUGGAUCCACUCUUUUCUUUGAUGAUCAGAGAAGGAGAUGAUUUUGCUUCAGUCUUGUUCUUAUUUGAAAAGGUUGCUGUGAGGUGUGACGCCACAGGUCUGAUGUUUUUCAUGGCAUCGUUUCAAAUGUAAGAAUGGAAAUGAUAAAGAAUCUCUUAUAUUUAGCUUGUGCGGGGUCUCCACGCUGCCACCAGCUGUGAGAACAGAUGUUUUCCUUGUACAUGUGAAUUUGAUUUGCUUGAAUGGAAUUAAACAGAGCGCACUCA
ensembl:lncRNA